rfam:Populus trichocarpa scaffold_6_contig_404, whole genome shotgun sequence.
GUGACAGAAGAGAGUGAGCACACAGGGUACUUUCUUGCAUGACAUCCAUGCUUGAAACUUUGCGUGCUCACUCUCUAUCUGUCAC